AGUGAACGCUGGCGGUAGGCCUAACACAUGCAAGUCGAACGGCAGCACAGUAAGAGCUUGCUCUUACGGGUGGCGAGUGGCGGACGGGUGAGGAAUACAUCGGAAUCUACUUUUUCGUGGGGGAUAACGUAGGGAAACUUACGCUAUACCGCAUACGACCUACGGGUGAAAGCAGGGGAUCUUCGGACCUUGCGCGAUUGAAUGAGCCGAUGUCGGAUUAGCUAGUUGGCGGGGUAAAGGCCCACCAAGGCGACGAUCCGUAGCUGGUCUGAGAGGAUGAUCAGCCACACUGGAACUGAGACACGGUCCAGACUCCUACGGGAGGCAGCAGUGGGGAAUAUUGGACAAUGGGCGCAAGCCUGAUCCAGCCAUACCGCGUGGGUGAAGAAGGCCUUCGGGUUGUAAAGCCCUUUUGUUGGGAAAGAAAAGCAGCAGGUUAAUACCCCACUGUUCUGACGGUACCCAAAGAAUAAGCACCGGCUAACUUCGUG
rnacentral:rRNA from 1 species